ACUAGUAUCUCUUCCUCCCCAAACAUUCCAUUGGUAUUAUAUAUUUUACCUAGUCGCAUAUAACGAGUCUGGAGUUCCUCCAUCGAACAGCUUCGGUGCGCCUUCCCAGCAUCGCCGAAGGGAGAAGCGAGCGGAAUGGCAGCUCCCUCUGCGAGCAUCGCCGUCGCAAACGCUAUCUGGGAACAGAUCAAAUGUUCUCUACUCAGGUCUCUCCCUCCCUCUCUCCGCUGCCCUUACUAUUUCCCUGGAGCCUCCCUCUCAAGUCUCAUCCUCUCUUUAUCCAUGACAAACGACCGGAGUGUCCGACGACCACCUAUCCAUCCUGCACUUCUUGUUCGGGAAGAACUCGGAGCGCGCGACGAGGAUCGUCGACCAUGGUGGCGUCCGAAUGAACAGCUGUUUAUUGCAAGCAUCAAAUAGCAGCUCGGCUUGCUGAAGCGGUGGGCGUGCUCACGGAAGUAGAGGUGUCUGAUGAGCAGCUGGCACUUAGGCUUGUGAAACUCUGAUAGUUUUAAGCAUUUCAAAUUGUGCAGGUAUUGAUUUCUUAUUGCUUUUUCUUAAGUCCUAGUUUUGAUUCAAUUUUUUGGGC